rnacentral:rRNA from 1 species
GUGGGGAAUCUUCCGCAAUGGACGAAAGUCUGACGGAGCAACGCCGCGUGAGUGAAGAAGGUUUUCGGAUCGUAAAGCUCUUUCGUUAGGGACGAACGUGCUCUUUGUGAAUAAUGAGGAGUAAUGACGGUACCUAAAUAAGAAGCCACGGCUAACUACGUGCCAGCAGCCGCGGUAAUACGUAGGUGGCAAGCGUUGUCCGGAAUUAUUGGGCGUAAAGCGCGCGCAGGCGGGAUAUCAAGUCUGUCUUAAAAGUGCGAGGCUCAACCUCGUGAGGGGACAGAAACUGGUAUUCUUGAGUGUCGGAGAGGAAAGUGGAAGUCCAAGUGUAGCGGUGAAAUGCGUAGAGAUUUGGAAGAACACCAGUGGCGAAGGCGACUUUCUGGACGAUGUCUGACGCUGAGGCGCGAAAGCUAGGGGAGCGAACGGGAUUAGAAACCCCUGAGUCC